CUUCGCAUUCAAACAGCAAGGGAGGGGAACGGGAGCUUGGAACCUGGCAGAUUCUAUGCUCAGAUACCACCUGGAAACCAUGUGACAACCUCAUUAGACAGAGAGAUCCAAAAAAUAGAGGGAAAGCCCAGAUGUAUGUGGAUCCCCCAGGAGUUAGCAGGGUUCUGUCAUGUCUCCACCAGGCCAGAGACAAUGCCAGCUGCCAGGGGUGCUGAUUGCAUCACCGUGCGCAUGCAGAGCGCUCAGUGGAGCCUUUAGACACUGGACGGGCCAUCCCAGCAGGAGUGCGGCACUGCACUGCUAAGAUAGUCUCUCUUUUUGAAAUUGAAGCCAGUUGUCUGAUGGGGCGACAGAUCUAGGACUGACACCCUCGGUGUAAAUACAGAGCAGGUUCAGUACUAGCAAUAGCCAGGCCUCCUUUCCCCGCACCAUUUCACACCCCUCGCACCUGCUGAAGUGCCACCCUCAACCCUGCCCUGGAGUGGCCCCACCCCCAGCUAAAGGGCAAUAUUAACGCUGUGCACCGUCUGUGCAGUGACUCCGAGCAGGAUGUCUCAGAUAGUCAUUUCCCCCUGGAGGGCUGGAUUGAUCCGGGGAGAUACUUUGGAGCCCUGCGGUCCUGAGCCAAAGCCCCUGGAAGUCAGAAGGAGGCUUUCCAUUGACUUCGACGGGCUUCGAACCAGGCCCCGGAGAAGGAAGUGUAUGACCCUUGUGGCUUGGAGAUUGAUGCUCAAACCUUUCCCGAUCGAGGGCCGCACCGCGGCAUGCUGCCUGGAACAGAGUGCAGCCGAGCCCGCCUUUAAUAUGAAGGGACCUGCCUGCAGUGCUCCAUGCUCUGGGAGCUGCAGGCUUUGCGGGCCGCUGCACCGUACGUGGGCUGGAUUGCAGAACGCCAUGGGCAGCACCGGGCAGGCAGGGAGUUGAUUAACUCCCACAGCCCUCUCCCGCUCUGAGGCUCCUGCCCAGUGGAGAGUGCCUGGAGGUAGCUCAGGUAGGCUGCAGUCAGUGCUCUGUUUCAAUGCCCGAUGCCGGACAGGGCUGGAAAACUGCUGCCUUUCCCUGGGCUCAGCUCUGCCGUAACCAGCCCCGUCCCCUCCUGGCACGGCACAGGUCACCUGAGGCGGCUCUAGCUCUGGCUCUGACUCAGUCCUGAGUGCGCUGGCCAAGAAGAUGCAGCAGGCACAGGGUUAACUCCCAUCUCCGAUCACUCACAGGCAGUAACAAAGCAGGACUAGGGACGAUGGCCCAAUCCGGCCCUAGAUGGGACAGCACACCACACCCUGGAGGUGUGUGGGUUACAUGGGCUGCCGGCUGAGUGUGAGGUGGGCUGUGUUAGAGCCUCUGCUUCUGUAAAAACGCUGCUUAUUUCGUUAUACCCCCUGCACACUGUGGAUUUUAGGCGCCUGGCUGCAUUGGGAUUCUGUGGGGGAAUUCUGGCUCACCUAGGAGGGGUGCUUCUGGCUGGUUGGAGCAUGAGCCGAGCCCUCUAGGGAGGUUCCCAGUAGCAGUAACUGGGUGUCAUGUCUCUGUUGCCCAAGAGGAUUGUGUCCAGCCCACUGGGACCCCUUGUGCAUGUGGACGGGGCUGGGCAAAACCCAAGUCCCUGAAGGCUCAGGAAUAAAGCCUUGGCAUAAAUCCGGCUGGGUGGGAGACCUGUCUGAGCUGUAACCCUGAAUAGCCUCCCUCCAAGGGCAGAGGUUGUCUGGCUCCAGAGGGACUCUCUUCACUUCUGCACUCACUCCAGCCAGAUGGGCUGGAUACUCACUGGUUGUGUAGCUCUUUACAGCUCUGCUUAAUUAACCUGUAAAGCGAAAGGGCCUUUGGGAGUUCAGCUGUAGAUGUUCUUUGACGCUGUCAGUGAGCUGCAGUGACCGAGAAGAGCUGAUUUAAUUAAGGCACCAACCCUUCCGGCGGCGGGGGGGAGCCAGUGGCUGAACCCAGGGUGGAGCACUCCCCAUGGCUUGGUGACAAUGAGCCCUGGGGUGCUGUGAGGUCUGUGUAUGGGAGACAGGGACAGGCAUGCUGGGACAGGGGGGUCCCAGUUACAGCCGUGCAAUCAGCAGUAAUACAGGUUCCAGUGCAGGUGGGCUUCCACUUGCCAGAAGUUUUCCUGUAAGUUUCAGGUUCAGAAAACCAAGACAACUGGCCAACUCCCCAUCCCCUACGGUUGGACUCCUAGAAAGAAACAUGCCAGUGGUGAGGGAGAUGGUCCAUGGCUGCCAACUUCAGCAAAUCAUGGGUUGGGGCUUCAAGUUUUGCCUGGUUUCAAGACCUGCUAGAAAAGUUUCACCCGGCUCUAGGCCUCAGCAGCUUUGCAAAUCAUUUCCCCGCUGUGUGCUGCAUUACAGGGGUUCCUCUGCCCCUCCGCUCCCCCGUGUCCCCAACUCAGCACUGCCCUGCAGCACCUCUACUCUCCCCUUCUCCCUCUGAGCCCUUCCUCCACGCAGGGCGGGUAAGUAUCAUUUCUGUUAGUAUUUCACCUCUCAUUUUCUGUUGAUCAGUUCCUGCUGAUUCCAUUAGCAGCUUGGCUGGGUAAAAGCUGAGUUAUUAAAGCACAGAAAUUUCCCUGCAACUGUCACUCUACCCAGAGGCCUGUCCUAAAGACAAAGAGGAUGAACUGAGAAUUAACCAGCACCCUGAAUUAAGGCAAUUAGGAGUGCCUGACAUAUAAUAGCAGGAUUGUUCUGAAUCAUUUCUCUCUCCAAACCUUCAUUGCUAAGAGAUGUGAGAUUUUGUUUCAAAAUGAAUUCCCUGCUAAAGAAAUU